rnacentral:rRNA from 1 species
UACGGAGGGUGCAAGCGUUAUCCGGAUUUACUGGGUUUAAAGGGUGUGUAGGCGGACUUUUAAGUCAGCGGUGAAAUCUCCGGGCUCAACCCGGAAACUGCCAUUGAUACUAUUGGUCUUGAAUGUUGUUGAGGUGGGCGGAACGGGUCAUGUAGCGGUGAAAUGCAUAGAUAUGACCCGGAACACCGAUUGCGUAGGCAGCCCACUAAGCAACGAUUGACGCUGAGGCACGAAAGCGUGGGGAUUAAACAGG